AGAUUGAACGCUGGCGGCAUGCUUUACACAUGCAAGUCGAACGGUAACAGGCCGCAAGGUGCUGACGAGUGGCGAACGGGUGAGUAAUGUAUCGGAACGUGCCCAGUCGUGGGGGAUAACGCAGCGAAAGCUGCGCUAAUACCGCAUACGAUCUAUGGAUGAAAGCGGGGGACCGUAAGGCCUCGCGCGAUUGGAGCGGCCGAUAUCAGAUUAGGUAGUUGGUGGGGUAAAGGCUCACCAAGCCAACGAUCUGUAGCUGGUCUGAGAGGACGACCAGCCACACUGGGACUGAGACACGGCCCAGACUCCUACGGGAGGCAGCAGUGGGGAAUUUUGGACAAUGGGCGCAAGCCUGAUCCAGCAAUGCCGCGUGCAGGAAGAAAGGCCUUCGGUUGUAACUAGCUUU
rnacentral:rRNA from 1 species